rnacentral:rRNA from 1 species
UACAGAGGUGGCAAGCGUUGUUCGGAAUUACUGGGCGUAAAGGGCGCGUAGGCGGUUCGUUAAGUCCUGUGUGAAUCCCCGGCUCAACUGGGGAACUGCACAGGAACUAGCGGCUUGAGUUCGGGAGAGGGAAGCGGAAUUCCGGGUGUAGCGGUGGAAAUGCCGUAGAUAUCCGGAGGAACACCGGUGGCCGAAGGCGG